rnacentral:rRNA from 1 species
AACGAACGCUGGCGGCGUGCCUAACACAUGCAAGUCGAACGAGAAAGGGGCUUCGGCUCCGAGUAAAGUGGCGCACGGGUGAGUAACACGUGGGUAACCUGCCUCUAAGAUUGGGAUAACUCGUCGAAAGAUGAGCUAAUACCGAAUAAGACCACAGUUCCCGCGGGAACAGGGGUCAAAGGUAGCCUCUGCUUGCAAGCUAUCACUUAGAGAUGGGCCUGCGCACCAUUAGCUAGUUGGUAGGGUAACGGCCUACCAAGGCAAAGAUGGUUAGCUGGUCUGAGAGGAUGAUCAGCCACACUGGAACUGAGACACGGUCCAGACUCCUACGGGAGGCAGCAGUGGGGAAUAGUGCGCAAUGGGCGAAAGCUUGACGCAGCAACGCCGCGUGAGUGAUGAAGGCCUUCGGGUCGUAAAGCUCUGUCGGGAGGAACGAAUGCUCCUGAGGUUAACAGCCUCGGGAGGUGACGGUACCUUCAAAGGAAGCACCGGCUAACUCUGUG